rnacentral:misc_RNA from 1 species
GAUGAAGAACGGAGCGAAAUGCGAUAAGUAAUGUGAAUUGCAGAAUUCAGUGAAUCAUCGAAUCUUUGAACGCACAUUGCGCCCUUUGGUAUUCCUUAGGGCAUGCCUGUUCGAGCGUCAUUUAAACCUUCAAGCUAAGCUUGGUGUUGGGUGACUGUCCGCUUCACGGCGGACUCGCCUCAAAAUUAUUGGCGGCCGGUACAUUGGCUUCGAGCGCAGCAGAAACGCGAACUCGGGCCCGUCGUAUUGGCUCCCAGAAGCUAUCUUCACAAUUUUGACCUCGGAUCAGGUAGGGAUACCCGCUGAACUUAAGCAUAUCAAUAAGCGGAGGA